CUUGCCCUCGACUGAGGAAGGAAUGUUACAGUGCUCAUGCUGUGCUCAGAGCUUUGGGCAAUUCAGAUGCUGCGGCAAGAAUCCAAAUGGCAAGCAACACGGGAGCCUGAGUUAGUGAACUACAUCGUCAUGGGCAUUCCUACCAGCCCAGCUCAAACAAGCUUUGAAUAAAAAUCUGCGUGUCUUGGA